rnacentral:rRNA from 1 species
CGUAGGGUGCGAGCGUUAAUCGGAAUUACUGGGCGUAAAGCGUGCGCAGGCGGUUUUGUAAGACAGGCGUGAAAUCCCCGGGCUCAACCUGGGAACUGCGCUUGUGACUGCAAGGCUAGAGUACGGCAGAGGGGGUGGAAUUCCACGUGUAGCAGUGAAAUGCGUAGAGAUGUGGAGGAACACCAAUGGCGAAGGCAGCCCCCUGGGUCGAUACUGACGCUCAUGCACGAAAGCGUGGGUAGCAAACAGGAUUAGAUACCCUGGUAGUCCACGCCCUAAACGAUGUCAACUAGGUGUUGGGUGGGUAAAACCAUUUAGUACCGGAGCUAACGCGUGAAGUUGACCGCCUGGGGAUACGGCGCAAGGUA